CCUGGGCUUCCCCCGCCAGCCCCGACAAGCUCUGGGAGUAUUCCCCACCUCCCGCAAAAGCCCACAGGAGCUGGGCACCCUUUAAGGAGCGUGCGGCUUCUGCGGGAGGGGGGGGAAUUCUGUAAGAUUAUUUGGGGAAGUUUUUCUAAUGAGAAGAUAUUGUCACAGAUGCUUGUUUUUGCCAUUCUCAAAAGUGCGAAUUUGUGUCUGCAGAGAUAACAUGCCUUUUCUUCACAGGAAAAAUGUUAUAAAAUAAACAUACAGAGUUGAGGGGAAACCUUAAUCCCAUUGUUCCUUUGCAAAUUUAUAUACACAGCUUGCAGGGCAGCAGCUGAAGGAGGAGCAAAAAGGGUUUUCUUGUGUGUGUGUUUCUUUGUGGCUGAUUAGCUGCUCUCCCUGUGCAAAGGUCAGAGGGGGCAGGGUUUCUCUUGAGGCAGGUGAUUAGCUGUGGGAGGAGCUUAUCAGAGCUUGCAGGGCAGCGGCUCACGCCCGGAGUCGCGCGCAGUUUGAUACAUCUUUUAGAUUUUGGGGAGCUAGUCUCAAACGUUAGUUGGGGGAGACCUAGGUUUUUUUUGAGGGGGGUUAUUUGUCCUGUCUUCACGCUUUUUAAGAUGGAGGACCACUGUAGCCACCCCCAACGACACGUUCUCAAGAUGGAGGGGGAGGGAACAGCUGCAGUCGCCUGCGGUUCCUGCGAAAUGUUUGCCAUCUUGCCAAAGGUUGCAGGCAGCUUUACCUGCAGCAAUUGUAUGUUGAUUGCCCUCUUAGUAGACAAAGUCCAGCAACUGGAGGAAUGUGUAGC